AAAAAUAGAAGUUUUAAACCCAUCUCAAUCUCUUUCUCCAUCGCUUUUCUCUCCCUCUCAAACUUUUACAUUACUGCAGCUGACCAUCAGAAGGAAUCGCCGCGGUGAGCGUCAACGACACUCCCUCUUCUUCCUCCAUCCUCCCUACUCUCUCUCUCUCUCUCUCUCUCUCUCUGCGUACGUGCACCCCUCGUCAUUUCAGGGAGAAUACAGGAUUAUCUUUUCUCACUGAUAGAGAUGGCAGAUGAAGCCAACAGAACUGCAUUCCUUGAAAUUCAAGGUCGCAUGAUUGAGAGUACUGGAAAAAUGAAACAGGUGCAAAACCAGAUGCGUUCCAAAGAAGCAGAAAAGAAACGGGCUUAUUUGACCUUGGAGGAGCUGAAGCAGUUACCUGAUGAUACUAAUGUUUACAAAUCCAUUGGGAGAACGUGAGUUGUUGAUACCUGUUUGAGCUUGCGUCUAAAGAGUACAUAUAAGUUUGUUUCAUGGGGUGUUAUAAUAUGCAUGACAUACUACUGUCAUAUUGUUACAGGUUUGUGCUAGAGUCGAAGGCAGCGUUAAUGAAUGAACAGGAGAACAAGUUAAAGGACAGUGAAGCUUCAAUUAUCUCAUUACAGAGCUCGAAAGAAUAUUUGGAGAAGCAGAUAGCAGAGGUUGAAAACAAUUUGAGAGAGCUGCUACAACAAGAUCCUGGUCUUGCACGUCAAAUUAUGUCGAUGAAUGUAUGAUGUAAACUUCCUAUGAUUGAGAUUAACAACCAUUGUCCCGUAAGUCCUUAUUUAGGGCAUUCGAGCAAAUAGAAAAUUUACGACAUGAGAAUGCAAAGGAAUGAGUUGCCUGCUUUGGUGAAUGAUUUGCUAUCCUCUUUGAAAUAUUGAGUUUGACUUUGUAGGUGCUUUAGUGAAUGAUUUGCUAUCCUCUUUGAAAUAUUGAGUUUGACUUUGUA